GCAAGACAAGGGCAGGGAGAAAUCUGGUCAUGUGAGGGCAAGCAACUAAUGUUCAGUGCUUUGUUUUGUAAAGAAAAGCCAAUCAUUUUUAGAUACUGGGUUUUAAAGGUACUAAAUAUUUACUUUUUUGGUGCACAGCACUAUGUUAAUAUUUCUCAUUUCUCCCUCAAGGCUGGAGAUGUAAACGUUAUGGACACAGAACGGGAGACAAAGAAUGCCCAUUCUUUAUUAAAGGCAAGCAGAAGCUAGAACAAUUCAGAGUAGCACACGAAGACCCCAUGUAUGAUAUUAUAAGGGAAAAUAAACGCCAUGAGAAGGAAAUGCGGAUACAACAGUUGAAGCAGCUGCUAGAGGAUUCCACUUCGGAUGAAGAAGGCAGUAGUAGCAGCAGCAGCAGCUCCAGCUCUUCAGGAUAUAAAGGAAAACACAAGAGAAAGAGGAA